UACGGGGGGAGCAAGCGUUGUUCGGAUUUACUGGGCGUAAAGGGCGCGUAGGCGGCCAGCACAAGUCAGUUGUGAAAUCUCCGAGCUUAACUCGGAAAGGUCAACUGAUACUGUGCGGCUAGAGUGCGGAAGGGGCAACUGGAAUUCUUGGUGUAGCGGUGAAAUGCGUAGAUAUCAAGAGGAACACCAGCGGCGAAGGCGGCAUCCUGGACUGGUCCUGACACUCAGGAGCGAAAGCGUGGGGAGCGAGCCGG
rnacentral:rRNA from 1 species